UACGUAGGGUGCGAGCGUUAAUCGGAAUUACUGGGCGUAAAGCGUGCGCAGGCGGUUUUGUAAGUCAGGUGUGAAAUCCCCGGGCUUAACCUGGGAAUGGCAUUUGGGACUGCAAGGCUUGAGUGCGGCAGAGGAGACUGGAAUUCCUGGUGUAGCAGUGAAAUGCGUAGAUAUCAGGAGGAACACCGAUGGCGAAGGCAGGUCUCUGGGCUGACACUGACGCUCAUGCACGAAAGCGUGGGGAGCAAACAGG
rnacentral:rRNA from 1 species